rnacentral:rRNA from 1 species
CAUGCAAGUCGAACGGAAACCUUCGGGUUUUAGUGGCGAACGGGUGAGUAACACGUAAGCAACCUACCCUAAAGACGAGGAUAACCAUUGGAAACAGUGGCUAAGACUGGAUAGGAAGAUAAAAGGCAUCUUGUAUCUUUUAAAAGACCUAGUUAAUAGGUAUGCUUUAGGAGGGGCUUGCGCCAUAUUAGUUAGUUGGUAGGGUAAUGGCCUACCAAGACGAUGAUGUGUAGCUGGACUGAGAGGUUGAACAGCCACAUUGGGACUGAGACACGGCCCAAACUCCUACGGGAGGCAGCAGUAGGGAAUUUUCGGCAAUGGAGGAAACUCUGACCGAGCAACGCCGCGUGAAUGACGAAGUACUUCGGUAUGUAAAGUUCUUUUAUCGAGGAAGAAAAGCAAAUGGCGAACCAUUUGUUUGCCGGUACUUGAUGAAUAAGCCCCGGCUAAUUAUGUGCCAGCAGCCGCGGUAAGACAUAAGGGGCAAGUGUUAUCCGGAAUUAUUGGGCGUAAAGGGUGCGUAGGCGGUCUAGUAAGUCAGUGGUGUAAUGGCAACGCUUAACGUUGUCCGGCUAUUGAAACUGCUAAACUUGAGUUAGAUAGAGGCGAGUGGAAUUCCAUGUGUAGCGGUAAAAUGCGUAAAUAUAUGGAGGAACACCAGAGGCGUAGGCGGCUCGCUGGGUCUUAACUGACGCUGAGGCACGAAAGCGUGGGGAGCAAACAGGAUUAGAUACCCUGGUAGUCCACGCCGUAAACGAUGAGUACUAAGUGUCGGGUUAAACCGGUACUGAAGUUAACACAUUAAGUACUCCGCCUGAGUAGUACGUACGCAAGUAUGAAACUUAAAGGAAUUGACGGGACUCCGCACAAGCGGUGGAUCAUGUUGUUUAAUUCGAAGAUACCCGAAAAACCUUACCAGGUCUUGACAUGUUUUUGCAAAAUGAUAGUAAUAUCGUGGAGGUUACCAGAAACACAGGUGGUGCAUGGUUGUCGUCAGCUCGUGUCGUGAGAUGUUAGGUUAAGUCCUAAAACGAGCGAAACCCUUAUCGUUAGUUGCCAGCACGUUAUGGUGGGGACUUUAACGAGACUGCCAAUGAUAAAUUGGAGGAAGGUGAGGAUCACGUCAAAUCAGCAUGCCCCUUAUGACCUGGGCUACAAACGUGAUACAAUGGCUGUUACAAAGGGUAGCUGAAACGCAAGUUCUUGGCCAAUCCCCAAAAACAGUCCCAGUCCGGAUUGAAGUCUGCAACUCGACUUCAUGAAGUUGGAAUCGCUAGUAAUCGCGAAUCAGCAUGUCGCGGUGAAUACGUUCUCGGGGUUUGUACACACCGCCCGUCAAACCACGAAAGUUGGCAAUACCCCAAAACGGUAGCCUAACUCGUUUAUUCGAGAGGGCGCCGUCUAAGGUAGGGUCGAUGAUUGGGGUUAAGUCGUAACAAGGUAUCCCUACCGGAAGGUGGGGAUGGAUCACCUCCUUUCUAAGGAAACCAAUAAAAUCAAUCAUCUUCAGUUUUGAAAGACUUAGGCAACUAAGUUUUUCUUCGUGACUUCACGAAGGGCCUAUAGCUCAGUUGGUUAGAGCACACGCCUGAUAAGCGUGAGGUCGGUGGUUCAAGUCCAUUUAGGCCCACCAGAGUUAUAGGUUUCGUAAGAACACAAAUUCUUUGAAAAUUAGGUAAAUAAUAGUUAUUUAUCCGGAACAUUAAAGGAAAUAAGAGC